rnacentral:rRNA from 1 species
GACGAACGCUGGCGGCGUGCUUAACACAUGCAAGUCGAACGAGGUCCAGCGGAGCUUGCUCUGCGAAGACCUAGUGGCGAACGGGUGCGUAACACGUGAGAAACCUACCCCAGACUUGGGAAUAACAGUCGGAAACGACUGCUAAUACCGAAUACCUUCACAGCAUCGCAUGAUGCAGUGAAGAAAGCUUUUGCGGUUUGGGAGGGUCUCGCGGCCUAUCAGCUUGUUGGUGAGGUAACGGCUCACCAAGGCAUCGACGGGUAGCUGGUCUGAGAGGAUGAUCAGCCACACUGGGACUGAGACACGGCCCAGACUCCUACGGGAGGCAGCAGUGGGGAAUAUUGCACAAUGGGCGCAAGCCUGAUGCAGCAACGCCGCGUGCGGGAAGACGGCCCUAGGGUUGUAAACCGCUUUCAGUAGGGAAGAAAAUGACGGUACCUACAGAAGAAGGUGCGGCCAACUACGUGCCAGCAGCCGCAGUAACAC